AGUGAACGCUGGCGGAGUGCCUAAUACAUGCAAGUCGAAGGAAGUGGCGCACGGGUGAGUAAUAUAUAGCUAAUCUGCCCCUUGCUGGAGGACAACAGUUAGAAAUGACUGCUAAUACUCCAUAGGAAGGGAUGAGACUAUAUCGUAUCAGCUAGUCGGUGGGGUAACGGCCAACCGAGGCUAUGACGCGUAACUGGUCUGGGCGGAGGAUCAGUAGCGUGGGAAUUGAGACACGGUCUAAGCUCCGAAGGCAGGAAGCAGUAAGGAAUAUUGCGCAAUGGGGGACACUCUGACGCAGCAACGCCGCGUGGAGGAUAACACUUUUCGGAGCGUAAACUCCGUUUGUUAGGCAAGCGGUACCUAACGAAUAAGCACCGGCUAACUCCGUGCCAGGAGCCGAGGUAAUAC
rnacentral:rRNA from 1 species